rnacentral:tRNA from 1 species
UCCGUUAUGGUGUAUCGGCUAGCAUCCGUCGCUUUCAUCUUGCCUCACAGCAUAAUGUCAGCUACCGACGAGAGCCGGGUUCGACUCCCGGUAACGGAA